rnacentral:rRNA from 1 species
ACGGAAGGCAGCAGUGGGGGGUAUUGCACAAUGGGGGAAACCCUGAUGCAGCGACGCCGCGUGAGUGAAGAAGUAUUUCGGUAUGUAAAGCUCUAUCAGCAGGGAAGAAAAUGACGGUACCUGACUAAGAAGCUCCGGCUAAAUACGUGCCAGCAGCCGCGGUAAUACGUCUGGAGCAAGCGUUAUCCGGAUUUACUGGGUGUAAAGGGAGCGUAGACGGCGAGGCAAGUCUGAUGGGAAAGCCAUGGGCUCAACCCAUGAACUGCAUUGGAAACUGUCUUGCUAGAGUGUCGGAGAGGUAAGCGGAAUUCCUAGUGUAGCGGUGAAAUGCGUAGAUAUUAGGAGGAACACCAGUGGCGAAGGCGGCUUACUGGACGAUAACUGACGUUGAGGCUCGAAAGCGUGGGGAGCAAACAGGAUUAGAUACCCUGGUA